rnacentral:rRNA from 1 species
GACGAACGCUGGCGGCGUGCCUAAUGCAUGCAAGUCGAGGGAGAACCGUCCAAUCCGUAAGGAGCGGACGGGGAAACCGGCGAACGGGUGCGUAACACGUGAGGAACCUUCCCUGAAGACCGGGAUAGCCCGGGGAAACCCGGAUUAAUACCGGAUGACCUCAUCGGACCGCAUGGUCUGGUGAGCAAACAGUCCGCUGCUUCAGGAUGGCCUCGCGGCCUAUCAGCUUGUUGGUGGGGUAACGCCUACCAAGGCUUCGACGGGUAGCUGGUCUGAGAGGACGAUCAGCCACACUGGGACUGAGACACGGCCCAGACUCCUACGGGAGGCAG